rnacentral:rRNA from 1 species
CCUACGGGAUGCAGCAGUGGGGAAUAUUGCACAAUGGGGGAAACCCUGAUGCAGCGACGCCGCGUGAGUGAAGAAGUAUCUCGGUACGUAAAGCUCUAUCAGCAGGGCAGAAAAUGACGGUACCUGACUAAGAAGCCCCGGCUAAAUACGUGCCAGCAGCCGCGGUAAUACGUAGGGGGCAAGCGUUAUCCGGAUUUACUGGGUGUAAAGGGAGCGUAGACUGCAGCACAAGUCUGGAGUGAAAUCCCGGGGCUUAACCCCGGAACUGCUUUGGAAACUGUGCGGCUGGAGUGCAGGAGUGGUAAGCGGAAUUCCUAGUGUAGCGGUGAAAUGCGUAGAUAUUAGGAGGAACACCGGUGGCGAAGGCGGCUUACUGGACUGUAACGGACGUUGAGGCUCGAAAGCGUGGGGAGCAAACAGGAUUAGAUACCCGAGUAGUC